UGAGUACACCAUGAGAAGAUGGCCUUCUGCAAACCAGGAAGAGUAUCCUCACCAGACAGCAGGUCUUCUGGUGCCUUGACCUCGGACUCCUCAGCCUCCAGAAAUUGUGUGAUCAGUGACCAGCUCAGCCAAUGCCAUUUCAUGAGCCACUGUGGCAGAUGCCUGUUGACCUCACAUCCAAGGGAACAAGGGCCCCACCUGUGAGAGAUUUAAGUGAAAUUCUUCUGAGGGACAACCAAGGCUCAGGAUGUUUAAAACUUUUUCAGGU